rnacentral:ncRNA from 2 species
CGUUACCACAGGGGGGGCUUUUAGCUGAGAUUGAUUCUUUGGAAUCUGACCCUUUGAACCUGUUCGUUAAUACGAGCGUAGGGAUUGUGGCGAAUGUAGUGG